AUUGAACGCUGGCGGCAUGCCUUACACAUGCAAGUCGAACGGCAGCACGGGUGCUUGCACCUGGUGGCGAGUGGCGAACGGGUGAGUAAUACAUCGGAACAUGUCCUGUAGUGGGGGAUAGCCCGGCGAAAGCCGGAUUAAUACCGCAUACGAUCUACGGAUGACAGCGGGGGACCUUCGGGCCUCGCGCUAUAGGGUUGGCCGAUGGCUGAUUAGCUAGUUGGUGGGGUAAAGGCCUACCAAGGCGACGAUCAGUAGCUGGUCUGAGAGGACGACCAGCCACUCUGGGACUGAGACACGGCCCAGACUCCUAAGGGAGGCAGCAGUGGGGAAUUUUGGACAAAGGGCGAAAGCCUGAUCCAGCAAUGCCGCGUGUGUGAAGAAGGCCUUCGGGUUGUAAAGCACUUUUGUCCGGAAAGAAAUCCUUGGCCCUAAUACGGUCGGGGGAUGACGGUACCGGAAGAAUAAGCACCGGCUAACUACGUG
rnacentral:rRNA from 1 species